rnacentral:lncRNA from 1 species
UCAGGUUUGCGCAUUACUUUCUGAUCAGUUUCUGCAUGCUAUUCCAUAGUGUGGUCUUUAGUGAGAAAAACAGUUUGGAGCUGAGAACUCUUGUUUUGGCAUCUGGUGACUCAGGCCUAAACUCAUCUGUCUUUCAUAUUCCCUCAUUUGCAGUCUGUUUUCUUUCUGCCUGGCUAGUGAACUUUCUGCUCUGUGAAAGAAGUUGUGAGUUAUUUUCCUCUGGUAAAUGAAGCUCCAGGCGUGGAUCCCUUGCUGCUGCCACAGUGCAAAGGAUAAAAAAAACUGUCUUCUUGGGCUUCACUGACUGCAAAAAUAGAAGAUAUUCUCCUGAGUGAUGACUGGUUUUCAUCCCAUCAUGUCCUGAGCUUCCACAUCCCUCUGCUCAAAGAAAUGCCAGUUCCUCCAACCACUUGUGUUUUGCUGGAUACCUGUCAACUCUUCACAUUCAGAGACCUUGGAAAAGUAACCAACUUUGAAGAUUUUGUAGCCGGCUUUUUGUCUGAAUGGGAAACUGCUGAGUUUCAUCUCAUCCCUGUUGUGACUAAUUCCAGGUAUUUAUUAAGCAUUCAAUAUUGUAUGAGCCAAAGGAGAUUAUGAGAUAGGCUGUUUCUUGUCUUUAAAGAACACACAAAA